rnacentral:ncRNA from 1 species
AGAAUUUAAAUUUAUUUCGGUGAUUUAUUAAAAAGUGAGGUAUUUAAUUAAUUAAAUUAAAUAUAUUUUUAUAUUAAGAUUAUAGUUCUAAUUUUUUUUUAAUUUAAAUGUUGGAUAAUUUUUUAUAUCUUAUUAAUUUAGUGCCAGCUAUAGCGGUUAAACUAAAGGAUUAAAUAAAUUAAGAAAGAUUUCAAGAGAAGGUUAAAAAAUUAAUUAUUUUAUAUUGGGUUGAAUUUUAAUAAAAUAAUUUUUAAAAUUAAUUUAUUUAAAUUAAGGUUUAAAAAAGGAUUAGAUACCCUUGUAUUUUAAUGAAUAUAUUUAUUGACUUAAUUGAAAAAAAGUUUUAUUUUGGCGGUAAUCUAUUCAAAUUAGGGGAACUUGUUUAUUAAUAGAUAAUCCACGAGAUUUAUAACUAGAUUUUAUUUUUUAGGUAUGGUUAUUUAAAUUAUUUUAAGAAAAUUUGAUUAAAGUUUUUUUAUGAAUUUAUUUUAAAUCAAUAUUCAGAAUAUUCUAGAGUUUAAUGAGUUACAAUAAAUUAUAUUUAUAUGAAUUUAAUUAUUAAAAUGUUAGUGAAGGUGGAUUUAAAAGUAAAUUCAAUUAAAUUAAUUGAAUUGAAUUAGUUUUAGGUUGUGUUCAUAUUGCUCGUCAAUUUCAAUAAAGUUGUAGUAAGUCGAAACAUAGUAAAUAUACUGGAAAGUGUUUUUAGUU